ACACUCCAAGUUUUGAGUGUAAUGAACAAACACUCCAAAAUCUACAGUCUUUAAUUCUUCUUCUCUUUCCAUUUCUUUAUUUUUAUUUUAUUCUGAUUUUGUAUUUAAACUCAACUCAAAACCCUAGCCAACUUUUCCAUGCUCUGAUCAAUUCAACCCCAUCUUCUAUCAAUUCAACGCAUCUUCGAUCGAUCGAUCUGUCUGAGACAAUAAAAAGAGGGUUUUGUGGAGAAAGAGAUCAAAUUGGUGUAUAUGGAUAGGAUUGUAGGAGAAAAGUACAAGCUGGGUCGCAAGAUCGGAAGCGGAUCGUUCGGUGAAAUCUUUCUGGCCACUCACAUCGAUACUUGUGAGAUCGUUGCUGUCAAAAUUGAGAACAAGAAGACAAAACAUCCACAGCUGCUUUAUGAGGCCAAAUUGUAUAAUAUUCUUCAGGGAGGAAGUGGUAUUGCCAACAUAAGAUGGUGUGGGGCAGAUGGAGAUGACAAUGUCUUCGUCCUUGACCUGCUAGGACCAAGUCUUGAAGAUCUGUUUGUUUACUGUGGGAGAAAAUUUUCACUGAAAACAGUUUUAAUGUUGGCUGACCAGAUGAUUGUGAGAAUAGAGUAUGUGCAUUCUAAAGGAUUUUUGCAUCGAGACAUCAAACCGGAUAACUUCCUCAUGGGUCUUGGCAGAAAAGCAAAUCAGGUAUAUAUUAUUGAUUUUGGAUUGGCAAAAAGAUAUCGUGACCCUACCACAAGCCGCCAUAUUCCUUACAGAGAGAACAAAAAUUUAACGGGGACUGCACGAUAUGCGAGUUGCAAUACUCAUUUAGGAAUUGAACAAAGCCGUCGGGAUGAUUUGGAGUCUCUUGGCUAUGUUCUUUUGUACUUUUUGAGCGGAAGCCUUCCAUGGCAGGGUCUAAGAGCUGCAACAAAGAAGCAAAAAUAUGACAAAAUAUGUGAGAAGAAGUUAUCAACUCCCAUUGAGGUUUUAUGCAAGUCGCAUCCAGUGGAAUUUGCAUCUUACUUCCAUUAUUGCCACUCUUUAACAUUUGAUCAACGACCGGAUUAUGGAUUCUUAAAGCGCCUGUUUCGUGACUUGUUUACUCGUGAAGGCUUUGACUUUGAUUAUGUAUUUGACUGGACCAUUCUAAAGUACCAGAAUACGCAGAGAACAAAAACUGAGCCUCAAUCAUCUACUUUACAGCCCGUUUCAGGGGUAACCAAUAACAGGGUAAUGCCUAUGGAUUUGGAUAAGCAUCAAGGAGGUAAUGAUGCUUCUCACUCAGCUGAAGCUACAGCCCGCAGAGGAUCAAGUAGUUUUGCUCGCCCUGACCUUGAUAUGCAUUCUAGAUCAGGAAUGGCACGCAAUUUGAAUGCUGAUAAUCCCAUUGAGAAACAAGCUGUAAGUGAUGCGCGCAUGCCAUCUACUUCAUUUUCUCUGGCUGGUGCCUUCAAAAGAAAUCUUCCAAGACCAGAGGAGCCAACUGAAUCUUCAAAUGUUGGCCGUGUAUUUGGGAAUAGAGUUGGUGCUUCAAGCAGCUGGAUGCCAUCAUUGACGCGCAUUUCUUCAGCCAAGUAAUUGGUAUGGAUCUGAAGUACAGGAUACACAGAAUGCAUUGCAGAUUUACCAAUGUCAUGAAGUUAGGAUUGGUGGAGUCCUUCAGGACCGGAUUGCAUUAUGUAUUUCUCUUAAGGAUUGAGUUACUUUCUAUUUUAUUGCUUUAAUUCCUAUGGAUCAAAGCCCUGGAUGUUCACCUGUGGAUCAGUUUUAACCUUGGUACCCAAGUCCAUCAGAGCGUGACCACACUAAAUCUGGUAUUGCAGACUAUUAUACAUGAUGCAAUGUAAAUGUGGAAGGGCUCACUGGAAGUCUGAUAUCAGGCCAACUUGCUCGUUGCAAGAAAUUCAUCUCUUUAUCAGUAUACAUGGGUCUGAAGCCUUUGUGUUUGGAGUUUCCCAGGGUACAAUUAUUUGCUGCUGGUUCAUUUUCUCUCAUGUUUUCAUGGCAGAGGGCUGUGGUUAAUUCCAAAGUCUUGAUAUUCUAGGUUGACAGAAAUUGAAUACAGGAGAUAUUUCUGGAGAAACUGUCGUCACUUCAAUUGCAGAGCGAUUGGUGCUUUGUUGGUACCCAAAUCUUCACUCCUUUUUUCUCACCUUUCUAUGAAUUGAUAAUUGUCUAUCAUCAUGGAAUGAUUGGUCAAUUAUGAUUUAAUCACUCGUUGAAGAUUAAAAUGAGUUCUGUUUAGUUGGCUGACCUGUUCAGAAACAGUCUGCAAAGAUGGUGUGCAAGGGGCUUGAAACAGAUGGUAACAAUGAUGUUCUUUGUGGCCGUGGAGGAAGUUGCUCGACUUCAGAAUUGAACAGAUGGUUAUGUUCAACCUCUGGCCGCGCGUAGUCACCACUCACCGGAGUUCCGCCGACAAAGACCGCUGUCAUUAACGGCGGUAAUGAGAGUGCUUUAGCGGCGGUUUCGUUACCGCCGUUAACAGAGGGCUUUAGUGGCAGUUUUUUAACGGUGGUUUCAUUACCGCCGUUGAAGGUACUUUAGCGACAGUUUUUUUUACGGCGGUAAUGAAACCGCCGUUAAAGAUAC